GACGAACGCUGGCGGCGUGCCUAAUACAUGCAAGUAGGACGAAGUUGCGAACGGGUGAGUAACGCGUAGGUAACUAAGUAUUAGAGGGGGAGAAAUAUUGGAAACGAUAGCUAAUACCGCAUACUAGUAGAUGGCCCUGCGUUGUAUUAGGUAGUAGGUAGGGUAAUGGCCUACCUAGGCAACGAUACAUAGCCGACUGGGGAGGGUGAUCGGACAAAAGGGGACUGGAACACGGCCCAGACUCCUACGGGAGGCAGCAGUAGGGAAUCUGUGGCAAUGGGGGGAACCCUGACCGAGCACCGCCCCGUGAGUGAAGAAGGUUUUCGGAUCGUAAAGCUCUGUUGUUAAGGGAGCGGUACUUAACCAGAAAGGGACGGCUAACUACGUGCCAGCAGCCGCGGUAAUUC
rnacentral:rRNA from 1 species